rnacentral:rRNA from 1 species
GCGAAAACCUUACAAUGCUGGCAACAGCGAUAAGGGAACCUCGAGUGCCAGGUUACAAAUCUGGCUGUCGAGAUGCCUAAAAAGCAUUUCAUAGCAAGGGCCGGGCAAGACCGGUGCCAGCCGCCGCGGUAACACCGGCGGCUCGAGUGGUAACCGUUAUUAUUGGGUCUAAAGGGUCUGUAGCCGGCCGGAUAAGUCUCUUGAGAAAUCUGGCAGCUUAACUGUCAGGCUUUCAGGAGAUACUGUCUGGCUCGAGGCCGGGAGAGGUGAGAGGUACUUCAGGGGUAGGGGUGAAAUCUUGUAAUCCUUGAAGGACCACCAGUGGCGAAGGCGUCUCACCAGAACGGACCUGACGGCAAGGGACGAAAGCUAGGGGCAUGAACC